rnacentral:rRNA from 1 species
CAGCCGCCGCGGUAAUACGGAGGGUGCAAGCGUUAAUCGGAAUUACUGGGCGUAAAGCGCACGCAGGCGGUCUGACAAGUCAGAUGUGAAAUCCCCGGGCUUAACCUGGGAACUGCAUUUGAAACUGUCAGGCUGGAGUCUUGUAGAGGGGGGUAGAAUUCCAGGUGUAGCGGUGAAAUGCGUAGAGAUCUGGAGGAAUACCGGUGGCGAAGGCGGCCCCCUGGACAAAGACUGACGCUCAGGUGCGAAAGCGUGGGGAGCAAACAGGAUUAGAGACCCCAGUAGUCCCUGUCUCUUAUAA